rnacentral:rRNA from 1 species
GCAUCAUUAAGUCAGGUCACAUAAACAAGUACUAUAUUAUACCAGUACGGAGCUGAACAAAUAACAAGUGAUUAAAACUAGUCAAGUCUGAAUAUUACACAACCCUGAACAUUACACAAUUCUGAACAUUACACUACUCAAGGUUACAGAAAUUUGAGAGAGAGAGAGAGAGAGAGAGAGAGAGAGAGAGAGAGAGAGAGAGAGAGAGAGAGAGAGAGAGAGAGAGAACAUCAGCAGGUUUUGGAAAAGGGGGAGGAAGAACAACAACAGAGAUGGUUCAGAGAUGAAGCAAGGGCAUCAGGGAGAGAAGAGCAGCAGCAGGUUCGUGGGAGAGGGAGCAGCAGCAGUUCGUUCAGAGAGAAGCAGCAACAGCGCUAAGGGAGAUGCAACAGAGAAGAGGCGGCAUCAGCAAGGGGAAGAAGAAGAAGAGCAGCAACACGGAGAUGGAGAAGCAAGAAAGGUGCAGCAGUACGUGAGAGAGAGAGAGAAGAAGUGAUGGUGGGGAGUGGUGGCGCUGGUGGAUGUGCUGGGUGGCACGGUGGUGCUGGUGAUGGCGCGGUGGCGCGACGGGCUGUGGAGGCGCACCACCACGCCGGCCUGGCCGUGGCGGCGGCCGGAGGUGGAGAAGGAGUGGUGAGAGGGAGAGAGAUGGAGAUGUGGCCAG